GCGAGGGAGGGGGGGGGGGGGGGGGGGGGAGGUGGGGGGCGGGUGGUGGGCGGUGUGAUGGGGCGGAGAGAGCUGGGAGGGGGGGGGGGGCGGCGGGUGGGAAGACGCAGGGCGAAACUGGGGGGGUGCGGCGGAGACGGGCAGGCUAGAGUGCGGGAGGGGAGACUGGAAGGCCUGGUGGAGCGGGGAAAUGCGCAGAUAUCAGGAGGAACACCGGGGGCGAAGGCGGGUCGCGGGGCCGAUACUGACGGGGAGGAGCGAAAGCGUGGGGAGCGAACAGGAUUAGAUACCCUAGUAGUC
rnacentral:rRNA from 1 species